rnacentral:lncRNA from 1 species
CCUGGGUGCUAGCCUGUCACAUAGCUGGGGUGUGAAGGGUUCCAGUUCACCUCACACGGGGACUUGAGACCCAGGAGACUGAUCUAUCAACCCAGGUCAUACUGGUGGCUGUUAUUGAAAGGUGACAUUCCCACUGCCACCCUAAACAGAGCAGCAGGGCAGGGCCACCACCACUAACACUGCUGACUGCCAGAGGAGUAGAAGGGAAAGCCAGAAGUCCUUGAGGAGGGAUUUUGCAGUGGUUCUUGGACUGGACGACGCACUGGAAGUCCUUGGGAACGAGACUCAGAAGGAGCGUGCGCAAUGGACUGGGGGACCCUGCACACUGUCAUCGGCGGCGUGAACAAGCACUCGACCAGCAUAGGGAAGGUAUGGAUCACGGUCAUCUUCAUCUUCCGAGUCAUGAUCCUCGUGGUGGCCGCCCAGGAA